rnacentral:rRNA from 1 species
ACAUCCAGAGAAUUUAGCAGAGAUGCUUUAGUGCCUUCGGGGACUCUGAGACAGGUGCUGCAUGGCUGUCGUCAGCUCGUGUUGUGAAAUGUUGGGUUAAGUCCCGNAACGAGCGCAACCCUUAUCCUUUGUUGCCAGCACGUAAUGGUGGGAACUCAAAGGAGACUGCCGGUGAUAAACCGGAGGAAGGUGGGGAUGACGUCAAGUCAUCAUGGCCCUUACGAGUAGGGCUACACACGUGCUACAAUGGCGCAUACAAAGAGAAGCGACCUCGCGAGAGCAAGCGGACCUCAUAAAGUGCGUCGUAGUCCGGAUUGGAGUCUGCAACUCGACUCCAUGAAGUCGGAAUCGCUAGUAAUCGUAAAUCAGAAUGUUACGGUGAAUACGUUCCCGGGCCUUGUACACACCGCCCGUCACACCAUGGGAGUGGGUUGCAAAAGAAGUAGAUAGCUUAACCUUCGGGAGGGCGUUUACCACUUUGUGAUUCAUGACUGGGGUGAAGUCGUAACAAGGUAAGCGUAGUGCU